UACAGAGGGGGCAAGCGUUGUCCGGAAUUAUUGGGCGUAAAGAGCUCGUAGGCGGUUUGUUGCGUCGGCUGUGAAAACCUGAGGCUCAACCUCAGGCCUGCAGUCGAUACGAGCAGACUAGAGUGUUGCAGGGGAGACUGGAAUUCCUGGUGUAGCGGUGAAAUGCGCAGAUAUCAGGAGGAACACCGGUGGCGAAGGCGGGUCUCUGGGCAACAACUGACGCUGAGGAGCGAAAGCGUGGGGAGCGAACAGG
rnacentral:rRNA from 1 species